UCUACGGGCGGCAGCAGUGAGGAAUAUUGGUCAAUGGGCGCGAGCCUGAACCAGCCAAGUAGCGUGAAGGAUGACUGCCCUACGGGUUGUAAACUUCUUUUAUAAAGGAAUAAAGUGAGGCACGUGUGCCUUUUUGUAUGUACUUUAUGAAUAAGGAUCGGCUAACUCCGUGCCAGCAGCCGCGGUAAUACGUAGGUGGCGAGCGUUAUCCGGAAUGAUUGGGCGUAAAGGGUGCGCAGGCGGUCCUGCAAGUCGGGAGUGAAACGCAUGAGCUCAACUCAUGCAUGGCUUUGGAAACUGGAGGACUGGAGAGCAGGAGAGGGCGGUGGAACUCCAGGUGUAGCAGUAAAAUGCGUAGAUAUAUGGAAGAACACCAGUGGCGAAGGCGGGCGCCUGGCCUGUUGCUGACGCUGAGGCACGAAAGCGUGGGGAGCAAAUAGGAUUAGAUACCCCGGUAGUC
rnacentral:rRNA from 1 species